UACGUAGGGUGCGAGCGUUGUCCGGAAUUAUUGGGCGGAAGAGCUCGGAGGCGGUGUGUCACGUCGGGCGUGAAAACCUGCAGCUUAACUGUGGGCGUGCGGUCGAUACGGGCAUCACUGGAGUUCGGCAGGGGAGACUGGAAUUCCUGGUGUAGCGGUGAAAUGCGCAGAUAUCAGGAGGAACACCGGUGGCGAAGGCGGAUCUCUGGGCCAUUACUGACGCUGAGGAGCGAAAGCGUGGGGAGCGAACAGG
rnacentral:rRNA from 1 species